UUACCUGUGUUAGUUCGCAAUAUGUUUAGCAUUCUUCUUGUCAGCCACCUGUUUCAAAACUUCAAGAAAUAAACCUCUUCUGUUCAUAAGACCUUUAAAUCCACAACAUGGAAUUAUUAUCAUCAGACCUUUGUGCAGCUUGGUGCUUUACACUUCUCCUUUGGCUUGUGAUGCACACUGCACACGACAAUGUUAAUUGUAUAAAAUGGAGUUAUGGGUGCAUGCUUGUGUCAUAGCAGAAUGCGGCCCAUGUAGUUUGUACCAGCUCUUCUUUUAGUGAAGACUGAAGAUCAACUACUAAGAAAGAUUCUGUUAUGAGCAUUUAAUCCUAUGCUGCCUGGGUCGUUGUUGCUACAAAUUUUGGAGAAAGGAAAGCGAUCUUCCAAAAGACCUGGAACCUUCCAAUAUGCAAAGUAGUAGUUCCAGACUUACCUACAGUGAUCUAUGCUAUCAAAUACCUGAAUCCAAGUUUAGGCAAUGUUUAU